rnacentral:rRNA from 1 species
GAAGGACGUGAUAAGCUGCGAAAAGCUCCGUUUAGGUGCAAAUAACCUUUGAUGCGGAGAUCUCCGAAUGGGAUAACCCAAUAUGUUGAAGACAUAUUAUACCGUAAGGUAGGCAAACGCAGGGAACUGAAACAUCUAAGUACCUGCAGGAGAAGAAAACAAACGAUGAUUCCCCCAGUAGCGGCGAGCGACCGGGGAAAAGCCCAAACCGUUAUUGUUUCGGCAUUAACGGGGUAGUAGGACUGCAAGCUUGAUGAAAUAAAUGAAAUGGAACACCUUGGAAAAUGUGAUCACAGAGGGUGAUAAUCCCGUACAUGCAAGUUUAUGAAUCAUAGCAGACUCCUGAGUAAGUCGGGACACGUGUAAUCCUGACCGAAUCCGCCGGGACCAUCCGGCAAGGCUAAAUACUCCUGAGAGACCGAUAGCGAACCAGUACCGUGAGGGAAAGGUGAAAAGCACUUCGAACAGAAGAGUGAAAUAGUCCCUGAACCCAUACGCCUACAAGCAGUCGGAGCCGCUUCGUGCGGUGACGGCGUGCCUUUUGCAUAAUGAGCCUACGAGUUACUCAUCACCAGCGAGGUUAAGUACUUCAGGUACGUAAGCCGAAGCGAAAGCGAGUCUGAAUAGGGCGUCAAGUUGGUGGUGGUAGACGCGAAACCUAGUGAUCUACCCAUGGGCAGGGUGAAGGUUUGGUAACACAAACUGGAGGCCCGAACCGGUAAACGUUGAAAAGUUUUCGGAUGACCUGUGGGUAGGGGUGAAAGGCCAAUCAAACUGGGAAAUAGCUCGUACUCUCCGAAAUGCAUUUAGGUGCAGCCUCUGUUGUUUUGUUCUAGAGGUAGAGCUACUGAUUGGAUGCGAGGGCUUCACCGCCUAUCAAAUCCGGCCAAACUCCGAAUGCUAGAACAUGAAGACAGGGAGUGAGCCAGCGGGUGCUAAGGUCCGUUGACGAAAGAGGGAGAACUCAGACCAUCAGCUAAGGUCCCCAAUUAUAUGCUAAGUUGGAAUAAAAACGGGGUGGGACUGCUUAGACAGCUAGGAUGUUGGCUUGGAAGCAGCCAUUCAUUUAAAGAGUGCGUAACAGCUCACUAGUCGAGCGGUCCUGCAUGGAUAAUACGCGGGCAUAAGCAUAUAACCGAAGCUAUGGGAUUGUAGAUGAUACAAUCGGUAGGAGAGCAUUCCAUUCAGCAUAGAAGCAGUACCGUGAGGUAUUGUGGAGCGGAUGGAAAAGCAAAUGUAGGCAUAAGUAACGAUAAUGCGGGUGAGAACCCCGCACGCCGAAAGAUCAAGGAUUCCCCGGCAAUGUCAAUCAUCCGGGGGUAAGUCGGAUCCUAAGGGUAAGCCGAGUGGCGAUCCCGAUGGCAAACAGGUUAAUAUUCCUGUACUGAUCAUAACUGCGAUGCAGCGACGCAGAGGUGACACUGCUGCGUACUGACGGAAUAGUACGUUGAAACCCGUAUUCUUUGAUACCGGUAGUGAAGCACGCCGGUAGAGAUGAAAGGUGAUAGUACCGCAAUGCUUCGGUUGCGCGGAUAAUGCAGGUAAGCUGACUGCCAAGAAAACCUGCUAAGCUUCAGGUAAUGAUCAUCCGUACUGUAAACGGACACACGUGAUCAGGUAGAAAAUACUAAGGCGCUCGAGAGAUUCAUGGUUAAGGAACUAGGCAAAAUGGUCCUGUAACUUCGGGAUAAAGGACGCUCUUGUGAAAGAGCCGCAGAUAAUAGGCCCAGGCGACUGUUUACCAAAAACACAUGGCUAUGCUAAUUCGCAAGAAGAUGUAUAUGGCCUGACACCUGCCCGGUGCCGGAAGGUUAAGAGGAGAGCUCAGAUGUAAGUCGAAGGUUUGAAUUGAAGCCCCGGUAAACGGCGGCCGUAACUAUAACGGUCCUAAGGUAGCGAAAUUCCUUGUCGGGUAAGUUCCGACCUGCACGAAUGGUGUAACGAUCUGGGUACUGUCUCAACCAUGAGCUCGGUGAAAUUGUAGUUCCGGUGAAGAUGCCGGAUACCCGCAACGGGACGGAAAGACCCCGUGAACCUUUACUGCAGCUUUGCAUUGAUUUUGGGUAACAGAUGUGUAGGAUAGGUCGGAGGCUUUGAUGCUGCGUCGUCAGGCGUAGAGUAGCCGUCGUUGAAAUACGACCCUUUUGU